rnacentral:rRNA from 1 species
UACGGGGGGAGCAAGCGUUGUUCGGAUUUACUGGGCGUAAAGAGCUCGUAGGCGGCUCGUCGCGUCGACCGUGAAAACCCGCGGCUUAACUGCGGGCUUGCGGUUGAUACGGGCGGGCUAGAGUUCGGUAGGGGAGACUGGAAUUCCUGGUGUAGCGGUGAAAUGCGCAGAUAUCAGGAGGAACACCGGUGGCGAAGGCGGGUCUCUGGGCCGAUACUGACGCUGAGGAGCGAAAGCGUGGGGAGCGAACAGG